GGGGAUUUAGCUCAGUGGUUAGAGCGCUUGCUUAGGAAGCGCAAGGCCCUGGGUUCGGUCCCCAGCUCCG
rnacentral:tRNA from 1 species